UGCCUGGUACCCGGGUUCGCUAACAAGCAGUUAGCGAUUGUUGAAAGAAGGCGGGAAAAAAAUAGAGUUGAGCCACGCAACAACGAAAAGAGGAGAGAGAGAGAGUGAGAACGACGAAGACGAAGCAAACUUCAGCAAUUACACACUUUCUUUCGCAAUGGGAAUCAAGGGUUUAACGAAGCUACUAGCGGAUAAUGCACCGAAAUGCAUGAAAGAGCAGAAAUUCGAGAGCUAUUUCAAUCGAAAAAUCGCCAUUGAUGCUAGCAUGAGCAUCUAUCAAUUCCUUAUUGUGGUCGGAAGAACUGGAACUGAGAUGCUUACAAACGAGGCCGGCGAAGUCACUAGUCACUUACAGGGAAUGUUUUCGCGAACCAUUAGGCUUCUUGAAGCUGGAAUAAAGCCUGUCUAUGUCUUUGACGGGCCGCCACCUGAUUUGAAGAAAAGAGAACUUGCAAAACGUUAUGCCAAACGAGCAGAUGCCACUGAGGAUUUGACAGAGGCAAUUGAGAAAGGUGAUAAAGAAAGCAUUGAGAAGUUCAGUAAACGGACCGUGAAGGUGACAAAACAACAUAACGAUGACUGCAAAAAGCUACUAGGAUUAAUGGGAGUACCUGUAGUUGAGGCUCCUUCUGAAGCAGAGGCACAGUGCGCUGCGCUUUGCAAAUCAGGAAAAGUUUAUGCUGUGGCUUCUGAAGAUAUGGACUCCUUAACCUUUGGAGCUCCUAAGUUUCUCCGCCAUUUAAUGGAUCCAAGCUCAAAGAAAAUCCCAGUCAUGGAAUUUGAGAUGACGAAGGUGUUGGAGGAGCUGAAUCUUACAAUGGAUCAAUUCAUUGACUUGUGCAUUCUUUCUGGCUGUGAUUAUUGUGAGAGUAUCAAAGGUAUUGGUGGACUGACUGCAUUGAAGCUCAUCCGUCAACACGAAUCUAUCGAGAAUAUACUCGAGAACAUGAAUAAAGAGAGGUACCAAAUACCUGAUAAUUGGCCGUAUCAAGAGGCCAGAUGCUUAUUCAAAGAGCCUCACGUGUAUCCUGGAAGCGAGGAACCAGAGCUCAAGUGGAGCUCUCCUGAUGAGGAGGGUUUGGUGAACUUUUUAGUGAAGGAGAAUGGUUUUAAUAUUGAUAGAGUAACAAAGGCGAUAGAAAAAAUUAAGGCAGCUAAGAGCAAGUCAUCCCAGGGACGGCUGGAGGCAUUCUUUAAGCCAACUGUGACUGGUUCUGUUCCCAUCAAAAGGAAGGGGACCAAAUGCAUGCUUGGCUCUUUCAAACAAGGAAAUAUGCCUAAAAUCCGUUCUUCACCAGCUUUUAGUCAUUGCCAGACUGAAAUACAUGUGGGCUUUAGCCUGCACUGUGAAUUUUUGGGCUCCAAGCACUUGUCUUCGUCGUUUCCAGUUCUUUUCUUUGGCGUAUGAAAGCUGACUUCCCUGGAAAAGGUGGAUGCUACCUCAAAGGAUACAUCAAACAAAAAGCAGAAGGCUGGUAGUAGAAAGAAGUAGAGACCAACUGUAACACUACCAAGUACCAAGACAUUCUUUGGUGUGGGUGGUGUUCCUUUUGAGAUCCACAUGUUUCCGGGUGUUAGUUAUUACUCAAGGACUGAAAUUAGGAGGAUUACCUGCAAAUGUAUGAUGAACAAUUGACGUGCAAAUGAGUAUGCAGUUACCUUUCCUUUUGCUUCAUUUUCGUGUAAGCUCUAUUAGCAUAACAGUUAAUAUCAUGUUGGAUUUUCAUCUUUAUGUAUUGUACUCGGAAUUGGUCGCUGUUUUCGUUAUUUCUAGUAUAAGA